rnacentral:rRNA from 1 species
GAUGAACGCUAGCGGCAGGCUUAACACAUGCAAGUCGAGCGGGAAAAUGGGGGCAACCCCAUGAGUACAGCGGCGCACGGGUGAGUAACACGUAGGUAACCUACCUAUGAGCCUGGGAUAACCUGCCGAAAGGCGGGCUAAUACCGGAUAAGACCACGGGGGCUGCGGUCCCUGGGGCAAAAGGUGGCCUCUCCAUGGAAGCUACUACUCGUCGAUGGGCCUGCGCGCCAUUAGCUAGUUGGCGGGGUAAUGGCCCACCAAGGCAUAGAUGGCUAGCUGGUCUGAGAGGAUGGCCAGCCACACUGGGACUGAGACACGGCCCAGACUCCUACGGGAGGCAGCAGUGGGGAAUAUUGCGCAAUGGGCGAAAGCCUGACGCAGCGACGCCGCGUGGGUGAUGAAGGCCUUCGGGUUGUAAACCUCUUUCAGGAGGGACGAAGCCACUCGGGUGAACAGCCCAGAGGGUGACGGUACCUCCAGAAGAAGCCCCGGCUAACUACGUGCCAGCCGCCGCGGUAACAC